rnacentral:lncRNA from 1 species
GUUCUGUUCGUAAUUUAAUGACGACAAAUUCUUUUUGCAACAUAAAUCCCGAUUUCUCAUCAAUUUUAAGAGACCACCUGUUCAGCUUUUCAAAUAUAACUUAUUACAUAGUUACUUUUUGUUGUAAACACAAAUAGAAAUCACUGCCUGGUCACGUUUCAUCGUAAAUGUAUACAAAUGAUUGCCCCUACCAAUGGACACUACUGGUUACGUACAAAACGUUUUAUUGUUUGGACAAAAUUAAAGUUUAUUCACUCCCGA